UCGGUUUAAACCCGGCCCGCCCGUAGUAUAAAAAAUAGUCCUUUNAAUUGAAGGCAUGCCGGAAUGGNNGANCUAUAAAAAAACUUUCUUUACUUAAAAAAUAGACUGUAACUUUUGAGUGAAAAGGCUUAAAUGCUUNNNAGGGACGAUAAGACCCUAUAAUGUUUUACAUUGAGAUUAUUAUAAAACGAUUUAAANGGGAAANGUUUGUUANUAAUNAGANUGUUUUGUUGGGGCGACAAGAAUAUAAAUAAUAUAACUGUUCUUUANNAGAAACAAAUAUACUUGUUUAAGUGAUCUUUAGUUUAAAGUGAUAGAAUAAGUUACUUUAGGGNAUAACAGCNGUUAUUUUUUUAAANGAGUUCUUAUCGACAAAAAAGUUUGCNGACCUCGAUGUUGAAUUAAAGANUUCU
rnacentral:rRNA from 1 species